rnacentral:rRNA from 1 species
ACUCAAAUGAAUUGACGGGGGACCGCACAAGCAGCGGAGCGUGUGGUUUAAUUCGAGGCUACACGAAGAACCUUACCUGGGUUUGACAUCGCAUCGAACACUGUAUGAAAGUAUGGUGGUCCCGCAAGGGACGGUGUGACAGGUGCUGCAUGGCUGUCGUCAGCUCGUGCCGUGAGGUGUUCGGUUAAGUCCGCAAACGAGCGCAACCCUCGGUGCCAGUUACAAGUGUCUGGCGCGACUGCCCGUGGCAAACGGGAGGAAGGUGGGGAUGACGUCAAGUCAGCAUGGCCUUUAUAUCCAGGGCUACACACACGCUACAAUGGCGCGUACAAUGGGUCGCGAAGCCGCGAGGCGGAGCCAAUCCUCAAAAGCGCGUCUCAGUUCAGAUUGCAGGCUGCAACCCGCCUGCAUGAAGUUGGAGUUGCUAGUAACCGCGCGUCAGCAGAGUGCGGUGAAUACGUUCCCGGUCCUUGCACACACCGCCCGU